AACGAACGCUGGCGGCAGGCUUAACACAUGCAAGUCGAGCGCCCCGCAAGGGGAGCGGCAGACGGGUGAGUAACACGUGGGAACAUACCCAUCUCUGCGGAACAACUCCGGGAAACUGGAGCUAAUACCGCAUACGCCCUUAGGGGGAAAGAUUUAUCGGAGAUGGAUUGGCCCGCGUUGGAUUAGCCAGUUGGUGGGGUAAAGGCCUACCAAGGCGACGAUCCAUAGCUGGUCUGAGAGGAUGAUCAGCCACAUUGGGACUGGGACACGGCCCAAACUCCUACGGGGGGCAGAAGUGGGGAAUAUUGGACAAUGGGCGCAAGCCUGAUCCAGCCAUGCCGCGUGAGUGAUGAAGGCCUUAGGGUUGUAAAGCUCUUUCACCGAUGAAGAUAAUGACGGUAGUCGGAGAAGAAGCCCCGGCUAGCUUCGUGCCAGCCGCCGCGGUAAUAC
rnacentral:rRNA from 1 species